CUCAGUUGGAAGUUUUGUUUUGAGUCCAGAGUUUCAAAUCAAACAGCUCCAAAUUUCAUCUGUGUUCUCUGAUGAUUUUCUCUUUUCUUUUUGUCCUUAUUUACAUAUUUCUUAAUUUCGGUCAAAGGAAUGAACACAGCCGUCAUGAUCUACAAGGUGGAACCCUACUGAAAAAGAAAAGUUGUGAAAAACUCGUGUGUGCCGACGCUCUCUGGAUGUUUUCCUUCAGCCUGAAGUGUCUUUCUGGGAGCUCUUCCUGUGGUUUCCACGUCUCCAAGUGAUGCUCUUCCUGUCCGUUGCCUGGCAACAGAGGAGGGAAAAAAUAGAUGAGCACCGCCCACCGGCCUGGAUCUAGAUCAUCCUGUGAGACGGGACAAGACAACAUGUCCAUCAGCAAACCUUCAAAGAUAAUGGAGCAGCUGCAUUAUACUGGCCAAACAUCAGCGGCGAGGCCAGGAUGGAUCCAUCAGAAACUGGACCACUGUGGGCCUCCUUCCUUUGAGACCGAGACAAACAGGAAGUACACAUCAUUAAAAUGUAUUUUU